rnacentral:rRNA from 1 species
UGAUCUAGCCAUGCCGCGUGAGUGAUGAAGGCCUUAGGGUCGUAAGCUCUUUCGCCUGUGAUGAUAAUGACAGUAGCAGGUAAAGAAACCCCGGCUAACUCCGUGCCAGCAGCCGCGGUAAUACGGAGGGGGUUAGCGUUGUUCGGAAUUACUGGGCGUAAAGCGCGCGUAGGCGGAUUGGAAAGUUGGAGGUGAAAUCCCGGGGCUCAACCCCGGAACGGCCUUUAAAACUCCCAGUCUAGAGUUCGAGAGAGGUGAGUGGAAUUCCGAGUGUAGAGGUGAAAUUCGUAUAUAUUUGGAGGAACACCAGUGGCGAAGGCGGCUCACUGGCUCGAUACUGACGCUGAGGUGCGGAAGUGUGGGGAGCAAACAGGAUUAGAUACCCUGGUAGUCCACACCGUAAACGAUGAAUGCCAGUCGUCGGAUAGUAUACUAUUCGGUGACACACCUAACGGAUUAAGCAUUCCGCCUGGGGAGUACGGUCGCAAGAUUAAAACUCAAAGGAAAUUGACGG